rfam:Lupinus angustifolius cultivar Tanjil chromosome LG02, whole genome shotgun sequence.
AGGUGCGAUCAUAGCAGCACUAAUGCACUAGAUCCCAUCUGAACUCCGUAGUGAAGCUUGCUUGGGAGAGAGUAGUACGAGGAUGGGUGACCUCCUGGGAAGUCCUCGUGUUGCACCUC